rnacentral:lncRNA from 13 species
CUGACUAAGACAUCUUUAUUACACCUUAUUUUAGAAAUAAUAGUCAUCUUAUUGAUAAUAAGAUCCCUGAAAAUAGCUCCUCCCUUACCAGCAGCACCCAUUCUUUCUCGUGUCUGAUGGUCACACUGAUUAUCUAUAAGGCAUUACAUUGAAGGAGCCACAACUUUAAACCUUGCUGAGUCCUGUGAUCUUGGUUAUCAUCUCUCAGUCUAUACACUCAUAUAAUUUGCUAUGAUAAUAACAAUUCUCCUGAGGGGAAAAUCUAGGAAUUGUUUUAUUCAAAUUACUAAGGUUUUUUUGGCAAAAAAGUUGAAGAAAAUAUUUGUGGGUGAUAGAAAAUGGCUGAUUUUACCUUAAAAUGGAGAUUACAAAAAUGUUGACUUGCCAUGAAGGGAACUGGAUGCUUUUUUCCACAUAUAAUUUAAAAACAGUGGGGUAAAGGGGCAAACACUAAGAACUCUCCUAGGACGUAUAUUUGUCUCCUCUCCAUUUUAGAAAAAGGAAGAAGAGACCUUCCCCUGCACUGGGCGAUGUAGAGGAUUUGCCUAAUAUUGUUAUUGAACUUGGUGGGCUGGGCCUAGCCAAAGCCUGCUUUUCCUCUUCUCUCUGGUUCAAAUUAUGGUGAUAUGGCUGAAAUUCAAUAAACCCCAACACAGGCCACGUGCCAAGAGCUCUCAGGACAAAAGCUUGCUAAGAGGAACUUGUCUUCUCGUUCACUGCUGAGUCUUCAGUUCCCAGAACAGAUCUUGGCACAUGCACAUUCAACUUCUGCUGACUGGGUGAUUGAGAUGUUGCAAAUGCCAUCGUCAAGGGUGCCCCUGUUGCCUGAAUUCUAACUACCUUGGUGAAGUCUCACUGCUUAGUUUAUAAUGAGUAUUUCAGUAUGGAGAUCUUCUACGUCCAGAUUUAAUCACUUUUCUGUAUUUGUCCGUUCUGCUUCUGCUGGUGUUUUGCAGUAAGCCAGAAGUAAGUGAGAUAUUGUGGACUGCAGGAAGAGGUUGAACAGGUGCUUGAGACACGACAGCAAAAGUGCUCCUCAAAGUCUCUACUUCAAGAACCUCACAUUCAAGCCAGAGAGACUGACAGUAACAAACAAAUAUGUGAAGUAUGGGGCUUCUCAGAUGGUUGGAACAGAAGAAAUGCUGUAUUCCUCUGAGGACAUAACUUCUGGAGGUACAUGUUGGAUGCCCAUCUGUUUCUCAAUGGGCUGGGUGUGGUGGCUCACACCUAUAAUCCCAGCAAUUGAGAGGCUGAGGUAAGUAGAUCACUUGAGGCCAGGCAUUUGAGACCAGCCUGACCAACAUGACGAAAACCCAACUCUACUGAAUAUAUAAAAACUAGCAGGCAUUGUGAGGCAUAUCAGUAAUCCUAGCUACUUGAGAGGCUGAGACAUGACUGUUGAUUGAUUUUAGGAGGCAGAGUUUGCAGGGAGCCAAGAUUGCAUUACUACACUCCAGCUUGAACAAUGGAGCGAGACUGUCUCAAAAAAUUAAUGUUUUUAUUCUUGCUAAUAAUGAACCAUUUGUGUCUCCUUUUUAAAUAAAAUGGGAGUUGUCGUUUUUCA